GCAUGCUUCACUAUGUACCAAAACUGUGAUUAUCAAUACAAACACAAGAAUAUUAUUCUGUUUGACCUCUAAGAUGAUUUUCAAAACUCUUCAUGUUGCUCAUGUUCAGAUGUUUAAAUGUCUUCAGAACUACGAGUGUUUUCUCACAUGACUCAAACACACAUGGUCUGUGUGUGUGUGUGUGUGUGUGUGUGUGUGUGUGUGUGUGUGUGUGUGAAUGGAUCUGUGUGUGUGUGUGUGUGUGUGUGUGUGUGAAUGGGUGUGUGUGAGAAUGGAUCUGUGUGUGUGUGUGUGUGUGUGUGUGUGUGUGUGUGUGUGUGUGUGUGAAUGGGUGUGUGUGAGAAUGGAUCUCUGUGUGUGUGUGUGUGUGUGUGUGUGUGUGUGUGUGUGUGUGUGUGUACGUGUGUGUAGUAGUUAUGGUAACUCAGAGAUUGUGUAAUGAGAGUGUGAGGCGCUGCUGUAAAGACACUGAUUAUCAGUAAAUAACACUCAUAGAGAGGAGAUAACACUCAAACACUCGCACAUCUUCAUUUCUCUUUUUCUCAUUCGUUCCUUACAUGUAUAGAUGUUUUCUCGGGUGCUGUGAUUAGGAUCUCUUGUCGAUGGACCGGCCCUCUUCUCCUCGGCUGAAAUCCCCUCAUGGUGUGUGUUUACUGAGCUCGUCAGGAUCACUGAACACGGCGUCUGUCAUAAAACUCCCGCUGAUCAAUACGGUCCGAUCUGCUGAGAUCAUGAUCAUGUUUUCAUCCGUAUGCCGACACACACCUGAGAUAAGAGUCAAGCUGUCACUGCGUUCCAUCAGCGUCUCUUACUGUGUGUGUGUGUGUGUGUGUGUGUGUGUGUGUGUGUGUGUUACAGUAUUGUGACAAAGGAGAUGUUUAUGACAGAUAUAGGUUUGUCUGGCUUCCUGUUCACAUCGCACACACACAUUACAUUUUAAUGUACAUCCUUUUAAUGUAUACCUUUAUAUUCAUUUGAAGUAUUUUAUUAAUUUCUUAAAUUUUUAUUUUUAAAUGUUUUUAUUCUAUAAUAUUCCAUUUUUAUUUAUACUUUUUUAUUAUUUAUUUUAUAUUUUAUACAUUUUUAUAUUAAAAAUUUUUCAUAUUUGUUAUACUGAUGUGUAAAACACUUUGAAUUACUGUUGUGUAUGCCUUUUAUUUUAUUGCAUUUUAUUGCACCAGAUCAGUCAUAAUGUAGUUUUUCACAUUCAUUUCACAGUCUCUCUGACCUUUUGAAUGAAAGUUUCGCUGUCCCUUCCUAGUAAAGCCGUGCUGAUGUAAUGCUGUUGUCCACAGUGAAACACACAUUCUGAGACGAGACCUUAAACUGGGUGUUUUUAGCUGCUUUUGCUAAAUAAAAAAAAUGUCACUCACAAUAAAGUACCAUAACUUAGAUUUGAACUUCUGAAACCCAAACAGCAUCAGAUGUUGAAGUAUGAAGUUUAACUCGGUGACUGAGGAAUGUGUGUGUGUGUGUGUGUGUGUGCGUGAACACGUUUGUGACGCUCGACCUUGAACACAUGGACACCAUUUAUCUGAGGCUGAUAAAUUAAUGAGCAGUCUGUGUUUGCACUGAGCAGACGACUGCAGGACGCUUCACACACUGGCACUGUAAACACCAACAACUCAAACCACAGAAAACUAUACAUUACUGAAGCACAGAAAGAAGAGAAAGAGGAUGACAAGAAAGCAAAGUGGUCUGAAAGUGUGAUGUGAUUUAACACAAACACACACUCACACACGCACACACACAGACAUGUUUGCUCAUUUGAAUGAACACUGAUCAGAAACUAAUUUUCAGAAACUUUUUGAUAACAUUUCCAUUGAGUUUUAAAAUGAUAACUUCUGAAUGUUUUUAAAACAAGUUACAUUUAAAAUUGUCAAAUGAACUUCCACACAUGGCAAAAAAAAUAUAUAUAUAUAUUUAUACCCAAAAUAUAUUUAAAAUAUGUUAAAUAUAAGUUGCAAGCACUGAAGUUAAAUGAAUUUUUUUUAGAAAUUGAAAUCGUCAUAUACCAAAAUAUAUUGCAAAAUGUAUUUCAGGGGCAAGAAAAUACAUUUCCAAUCUUACAGUAGCCUACGAUUAGACUGAAUGCAAAUGUGGCAAGCCUAGAUAGAUCAAAACUAAAUUUAUAAUGUUUCAUUAAUG
ensembl:lncRNA